UACGAGGGGGCUAGCGUUGUUCGGAAUUACUGGGCGUAAAGCGCACGUAGGCGGCUUUGUAAGUUAGAGGUGAAAGCCCGGAGCUCAACUCCGGAAUUGCCUUUAAGACUGCAUCGCUAGAAUUGUGGAGAGGUAAGUGGAAUUCCGAGUGUAGAGGUGAAAUUCGUAGAUAUUCGGAAGAACACCAGUGGCGAAGGCGACUUACUGGACACAUAUUGACGCUGAGGUGCGAAAGCGUGGGGGAGCAAACAGG
rnacentral:rRNA from 1 species